GGGUGAGUGCUGGAAUGGCAUACAGGCUAGUCUCAAAAACUAGUGGAUUCACUUCCAUGAGGGUUCGACUCCCUCCUCACCCA
rfam:Microgenomates (Levybacteria) bacterium GW2011_GWA2_37_36 TS48_C0021, whole genome shotgun sequence.